UACGGGGGGGGCAAGCGUUGUUCGGAAUUACUGGGCGUAAAGGGCUCGUAGGUUGCCAACUAAGUCGGACGUGAAAUCCCUCAGCUUAACUGGGGAACUGCGUCCGAUACUGGAUGGCUUGAGUUUGGGAGAGGGAUGCGGAAUUCCAGGUGUAGCGGUGAAAUGCGUAGAUAUCUGGAGGAAUACCGGUGGCGAAGGCGGCAUCCUGGACCAUUACUGACGCUUAAGCGCGAAAGCUAGGGGAGCAAACGGG
rnacentral:rRNA from 1 species